rnacentral:rRNA from 1 species
UACGGAGGGGGCUAGCGUUGUUCGGAAUUACUGGGCGUAAAGCGCACGUAGGCGGCUUUGUAAGUUAGAGGUGAAAGCCCGGGGCUCAACUCCGGAAUUGCCUUUAAGACUGCAUCGCUAGAAUUGUGGAGAGGUAAGUGGAAUUCCGAGUGUAGAGGUGAAAUUCGUAGAUAUCAGGAGGAACACCGGUGGUGUAAACGGCUUUCUGGACCAUAACUGACGCUGAGGCACGAAAGCGUGGGUAGCAAACAGG